rnacentral:misc_RNA from 1 species
GAAAUGCGAUAAGUAAUGAGAAUUGCAGAAUUCCGUGAAUCAUCGAAUCUUUGAACGCACAUUGCGCCCUCUGGCAUUCCGGGGGGCAUGCCUGUCCGAGCGUCAUUACGCACCCUCAAGCCCGGCUUGUGUGAUGGGCCCCGGCGUCUCGUUCGCGAGACGGGCCCGAAAGGCAGCGGCGGCGUCGACCCGAUGAGCCCGAGCGUAUGGGGACUUCUGUCACACGUUCGCGGUGCGGACCGGCGCCUGCUUUGACUUUUCUGAUUAUCCAGGUUGACCUCGGAUCAGGUAGGGAUACCCGCUGAACUUAAGC